GGAUUCCCCUAGUAGCGGCGAGCGAAGCGGGAAGAGCUCAAAUUUGUAAUCUGGCGCUUUCAGCGUCCGAGUUGUAAUCUCUAGAAAUGUUUUCCGCGUUGCACCGCACACAAGUCUGUUGGAAUACAGCGGCACAGUGGUGAGACCCCCGUUCAUGGUGCGGAUGCGCAAUGCUUUGUGAUACAUUUUCGAAGAGUCGAGUUGUUUGGGAAUGCAGCUCAAAUUGGGUGGUAAAUUCCAUCUAAAGCUAAAUAUUGGCGAGAGACCGAUAGCGAACAAGUACCGUGAGGGAAAGAUGAAAAGCACUUUGGAAAGAGAGUUAACAGUACGUGAAAUUGUUGGAAGGGAAACGCUUGAAGUCAGACUUGCUGUUCGGAGUUCAGCCGCAAGGUGUACUCUCCGAGUUGCAGGCCAGCAUCAGUUUUUCGGGGUGGAAAAUCACGGUUUGAAGGUAGCAGUUUCGGCUGUGUUAUAGCUUUCCGUUGGAUACAUCCUGGGGGACUGAGGAACGCAGUGUGCUUUUAGCAGGGGUUUCGACCUCUUCACACUUAGGAUGCUGGUGGAAUGGCUUUAAACGACCCGUCUUGAAACACGGACCAAGGAGUCUAACAUGCUUGCGAGUAUUUGGGUGUCAAACCCGGAUGCGUAAUGAAAGUGAAUGGAGGUGGGAAGCGCAAGCUGCACCAUCGACCGAUCUGGAUUUUUUAAGAUGGAUUUGAGUAAGAGCACGUAUGUUGGGACCCGAAAGAUGGUGAACUAUGCCUGAAUAGGGCGAAGCCAGAGGAAACUCUGGUGGAGGCUCGUAGCGGUUCUGACGUGCAAAUCGAUCGUCAAAUUUGGGUAUAGGGGCGAAAGACUAAUCGAACCAUCUAGUAGCUGGUUCCUGCCGAAGUUUCCCUCAGGAUAGCAGAAACUCACAUCAGUUCUAUGAGGUAAAGCGAAUGAUUAGAGGCCUUGGGGUUGAAACAACCUUAACCUAUUCUCAAACUUUAAAUAUGUAGGAAGUCCUUGCUACUUAAUUGAGCGAGGACA
rnacentral:rRNA from 1 species